UACGUAGGGGGCUAGCGUUGUCCGGAUUUAUUGGGCGUAAAGGGUGCGUAGGCGGGUCUUUAAGUCAGGGGUGAAAUCCUGGAGCUCAACUCCAGAACUGCCUUUGAUACUGGGUAUCUCGAGUCCGGAAGAGGUGAGUGGAAUUCCGAGUGUAGAGGUGAAAUUCGUAGAUAUUCGGAGGAACACCAGUGGCGAAGGCGGCUCACUGGUCCGGUACUGACGCUGAGGUGCGAAAGCGUGGGGAGCAAACAGG
rnacentral:rRNA from 1 species